rnacentral:rRNA from 1 species
CUACGGAGGGUGCAAGCGUUAUCCGGAAUCAUUGGGUUUAAAGGGUCCGUAGGCGGACUAAUAAGUCAGGGGUGAAAUCCCACAGCUUAACUGUGGAACUGCCUUUGAUACUGUUAGUCUUGAGUUAUGUGGAAGUAGAUAGAAUGUGUAGUGUAGCGGUGAAAUGCUUAGAGAUUACACAGAAUACCGAUUGCGAAGGCAGUCUACUACAUAUAUACUGACGCUAAUGGACGAAAGCGUGGGGAGCGAACAGAAUUAGAAACCCUAGUAGUCC